rnacentral:lncRNA from 1 species
UUAAAUUUAUAGUUGAAUUUGCCCUAGUGGUAGUACAUAAAUAUGAGAAUCCUCGUUUCUAGGAGUGCGAAAUGCAAUCUGAAGUGCAGAAGAGCAACUAGCACGGAACCCCGCCUAAUCGCAAACAAGGACCCAAAAUAGUAUUUUCUCUAAACAUCAACGCCUUGUUCGCGAAAACAUCCCAGAAAAUAUCGAAUAUAUCCCCAUCGUCCCAUUUAUCCGCGUCCAUCUUUCUCCUCUUCCCCUCGCGGCGGCGUCGUGGGUGGAACCCGCUCCAGGCAUUCUUCCACCGAAGAUCGGGACGAUUUCUCUUGUAGGUGACGAACCCUAACUUGUUUGGAUUUGCUCCCAUCUUUUCUCCUGAUCUAAUUCUCUGUUUCUCUUCGAUCGAUACGUCCAGUUUUCCGCGGCUAGAUUUGGCGUCGGGAGAGGGAAUUCGAUCUGAAAAUGGGGCUGUUCCGGGCCGCGUCGGGUUUAGCCCGGGUGGCGCUGCGGAGGAGCCUGUCGCGCGCUCCGGCGAGCCCGUUCGCCGGCCCCGCGCCNNNNNNNNNNNNNNNNNNNNNNNNNNNNNNNNNNNNNNNNNNNNNNNNNNNNNNNNNNNNNNNNNNNNNNNNNNNNNNNNNNNNNNNNNNNNNNNNNNNNAUUUAAUAGGGUGAUAUAACAAGGAACCCAUGUAAUCACAUGGAAGAAACUGCACCUGCAACUAGCAACGCUAACACAGGGUUAAGAAAGCGGUAACAUAGCCAAUCGGUGGUUUGCUAGGUUGAACCGUUGAAGGUUAUCAUGGCAUUGUUGAGAGGCUCGUGUAUAACAAGUGGUGGGCAACGAGACGUAAACGGUAUAAACAGUAAAACUAGCAUGGCAAUGAUAGUAAUGGUAUCUGGGGAAAUGGUCAUCUUGCCUGAGAUCCCGCUUGGAAGAAGAAUGACUUCGUGAAGCAGACGAACCGACAUGGUCGAACGGAUCCUGAGUUCCGACACGCUUGCGGAACUCUAUUGAGGCGAAGCAAACAGGAAACACAAAUCAACACACGAUAUUCACCACACGAUGCAUACACAUAUGAUGCAUGAAUGUUCUAAUGCAAGGCAUGACAAUCACAACAAUCAAACACUACACAUUAAGUGAAGCUCGAUAUGCAACGGGUUGCAUAUCGACGAAACUCCACAUUUAAUCGUUUAGUUCACUCCCGUUAAUUUACACGGCAAUACUUAAAAUGUUGUUAACGUGGCAAGGGAGUGAAGCACAAAUUAAUCUACCUANNNNNNNNNNCGACAUAUAGCAUCUCUAAAAUGACCCCACGUGUUAAAUCUUAAUUCUGUCCAGAUUUGUCCUAAUCACAUUUUAGGUUUGUUAAACGGCAAAAAAAAGUGGUUCACGUGAUUCUACUCGUCGUUCUGGUCCAUUUACAUAUAUGGCACAUCUGCAACGGAGCUACGGCAAAUAGUUAUGACCUAAACCGUUUUCGACACGUUGACAUGUAAACCGAUGCAAACAGCACACUAAACAGCCUUAAACAUGCAUGAGAGUUGGAAAUUAUUAACCUACGCGAAAUUCUAGUCAAGUUACAUAUCUAACUCGUCGAAAUCCAACACACGGAAUAGAAUCUACGGGCGUUGAAAAUAUACCUAUAUCCUGAUAUAGCAAAAAUCCUAGCGUAGAUAAAAAAAACGAACUGGGCCGAAUUCGAAGACACGGCGCAACCCAGCUACAGAUCAGGCCCAAACUUGUGACAACAAAUAAAAAAAUAACAUGGGGAAGCUGGGAUUUGAACCUAGGACCCCUGGGUCUCAAUACAAGGCACAUACCAGUGUGCUAGCGGUAUGAUUGUGGCAAACAUAGCAACACGCUCUAGAUAACUGAGUCAUGGGCGAACAUAAAUCAUCAAAAAAAAAAGGAAAAAUAGGGGUGCAUGGGAUUCGAACCCCAGACCUCUGGGUAUGUGCUAGCGCGGCUGACCAGUUGGGCUACGAACUAACUGUGGUAUAAACUGAAUUUCUACUCAAAUGAACAUAUNNNNNNNNNNUGACAUAUAGCAUCUCCGAAAUGACCCCACGUGUUAAAUCUUAAUUCUGUCCAGCUUUGUCCUAAUCACAUUUUAGGUUUGUUAAACGGCAAAACAAAGUGGUUCACGUGAUUCUACUCGUCGUUCUGGUCCAUUUACAUAUAUGGCACAUCUCCAACGGAGCUACGGACAAAUAGUUACGACCUAAACCAUUUUCGACACGUCCACAUGUAAACCGAUGCAAACAGCACACUAAACAGCCUUAAACAUGCAUGAGAGUUGGAAAUUAUUAACCUACGCGAAAUUCUAGUCAAAUUACAUAUCUAACUCGUCAAAAUCCGACACACGGAAUAGAAUCUACGGGCAUUGAAAAUAUACCUAUAUCCUGAUAUAGCAAAAAUCCUAGCGUAGAUAAAAAACGAACUGGGCCGAAUUCGAAGACACGGCGCAACCCAGCUACAGAUCAGGCCCAAACUUGUGACAGCAAAUAAAAAAAUAACAUGGGGAAGCUGGGAUUUGAACCCAGGACCCCUGGGUCUCAAUACAAGGCACAUACCAGUGUGUUAGCGGUAUGAUUGUGGCAAACAUAGCAGCACGCUCUAGAUAACUGAGUCAUGGGCGAACAUAAAUCAUCAAAAAAANNNNNNNNNNCAAAAAGGAAAAAUAGGGGUGCAUGGGAUUCGAACCCCAGACCUGUGUGUAUGUGCUAGCGCGGCUGACCAGUUGGGUACGAACUAACUGUGGUAUAAACUGAAUUUCUACUCAAAUGAACAUAUCCUCUAACGAACCUGACGAAACUGAAACACGAAACGGAGAAAGCACCAUUGACAGGUUUGGAUGCAGGUCGGGGCAUCCAGAUCGAGCGGGCACCAGCGGGAUGGGCGGAUCCCAGAGCACCUACUCCAUUUCCGGUGGCUAUGGGGCUCGAUCCGCGGAGAUGGAGCUCGCAGGGGGCAUUCAUGGUUGCACCUGCAGUUGUUGUUCAGAGAAACAGAGAAAGGGGGAGCAUGAGNNNNNNNNNNNNNNNNNNNNNNNNNNNNNNNNNNNNNNNNNNNNNNNNNNNNNNNNNNNNNNNNNNNNNNNNNNNNNNNNNNNNNNNNNNNNNNNNNNNNUCUACUCGCCCGCGAUCUACUCCACGUCCUGCAUGCUCUCGCCGCGCCUGCUACACACACGUGUGCGCCCGUGUCUCGCGCUGAGCAGCACCAGACGAUCCGAUCGCCCCGCACGUCUCGCCAACAAACACACACACACUACCCUGGUGCACGGACACGCCCAUGCACCCAACACACGCACACACGCACGCCCUGAUCCUCGGACCCGACGCGCCCAGCAAGUCCAGCGCGCGCCCAUACCCGCACUGGACGUGCCCGGCUCGUCGCCGUGGCUUAUUCGCCCAUCAGAAUUGACAAUUCUCUUUUCAUUUCUAAGGAGACCGGUUAGACAUAACCAAAUUGGGGCAGUAUUACUGAAGAUGCAAUUUGUCAUGCUAAAGCUCCAAAUUAUUGGCGUUUUUUGCUGAUCCGCUGUCAUGAUUUUUUUAGCUGCCGAGAUAUGCUACAAGGUUUGUACAAGUUGGAAUUGAGCAGCAUAAGUGGCAUGUGUAGCAGACAUGUUGCUCAGGGAUGGAAUCAUGGCUAAAUACAUGUUGUAUAAUCUUGGAGGAUUAUAAGUUCUGGGAUGAUCUAAAUAAACAUCAUCAGUACUGAUUGGAAUAAUUGUUAGACCCAAAACAACUCAGAGAUUUAGUUGGUUUGGAAGAUUGAUUUUUGUACAUGCUUAUAAUUGUUCCAUAACUGUUAAGAAAAUCUGAAGCGAGAAAAACAAGAGGAUAUUCUGAACAAAUUGUUAUAUUCUCUCAACUGCCUAAAUUAGUAAUUUUAGGUAGGAACUACUUGGGGUGCACUUUACGGAGUCAUAACCUUGUCAUCUGAAUAUAAGCUUGUCACUUAAAUAAUUAUUUAGAUAUAUACUGAUCUCAUAUUUUGAUGCAUUUCCUUUUUUUGAUGUCAUCUCUUGAUGUGUGCUAUAAUUUGAACAGUUCCCUGUCAGAAUUUGCUGUUCUGGGCUUUGAGUUGGGUUAUUCAAUGGAGAACCCAAACUCACUGGUUUUAUGGGAAGCACAGUUUGGUGAUUUUUCAAAUGGGGCUCAAGUGAUAUUUGAUCAGUUCAUUAGUAGCGGAGAGGCAAAAUGGCUCCGCCAGACCGGGCUUGUCGUCUGCCUUCCUCAUGGAUAUGACGGUCAAGGGCCUGAACAUUCUAGUGCAAGAAUGGAGCGCUUCCUUCAGGUAGCAUUUUGCUCAGGUUGCAAAGAUGUAGACACAUGUAUCUCUCCUGUUUAUAGUACCUGUAUGAUAUAUGCACAUAAAAAGAACAUACGAAGAGAGCUCUUACUGUAAAUUAGCUCUUACACAAUUUUAUCAUGACAUACACGCACAGUGCUGGAACUGCCAUAACCACACACUUUGCAUUAUUUAUAUAAAUAUUCCCAUAUACUGGCAAAAUGUAUUUUUUCCCUCCACUUCCUUGCUUAUUAUGUUUUGCCUGUUCGCAUGACCUAAGACGACAAAGCUAAAUACCUCAUAGGCAAACCUCUUUCAUGAGAGUGCAUGUUAAUUGCACAACACUUGUAUUGUGCUUCCUCUACUUCUGAGUUCUGACUAGAUAGUUGUAACUACACCAGACUUGAUUCUUAAUUGGACUUCUGUAUCAUGCAAUUUAUGGGUUGUACUGUACUUCACAACAGGUGAGAGCCGAAAGCCAUGGAAUAUUGGUGAACAAUUUUGAAGUAUUACGUUAAAUUUCAUAUUUUGUUAAUAUAAAUACAAACUUGCAGAACCAAAAAAUUCUGCAACUAUGCUCUUACAGAGAUAAGUUUCUUUCAUAGGCCUGGGUGAUGGAGAUCUUAAAUGCUGCUGCCUUUUGGUUUAAUUAUAUUCCUUUUUUAAGAUUGUCCAUGAUUGCAGAUGAGUGAUGAUAACCCCUAUGUUAUACCUGAGAUGGAUCCAACAAUGAGGAAGCAAAUCCAGGAGUGCAACUGGCAGGUCGUGAAUGUCACAACUCCUGCAAACUAUUUCCAUGUGCUGCGUCGCCAGGUGAAUAUAAUAAUGCAACCUCCCUCCCCCUUCCCUUCCUCCUAGCCUUGGCAACCAUCUUUCGGUGCAUUAAUCUAUAUUUUCCUCUGUUUGCAGAUACACCGGGAUUUCAGAAAGCCUUUAAUUGUCAUGUCUCCAAAGAAUCUCCUUCGUCACAAGGACUGCAAAUCCAGUCUAUCUGAAUUCGAUGAUCUUGCUGGUCACCCUGGAUUUGAUAAGCAAGGGACACGCUUCAAGCGUCUAAUUAAAGACCGGAAUGACCAUAAGGACCUUGAGGAAGGAAUCAGACGUCUAGUUCUUUGUUCUGGAAAGGUAUGUUAUGUUAUACUUGCUGGAAGCUGUACGUCAACAAAGUUGCUUCUUCACCUAGUGAUUUUACAACUAACUUUGCUACGAUCUAGGUUUACUAUGAAUUGGAUGAAGAAAGAAAGAAGUCAGAUUGCAAUGAUGUUGCGAUAUGUAGAGUUGAGCAGCUCUGUCCAUUCCCCUACGACCUCAUUCAGCGCGAGCUGAAGAGAUAUCCAAGUAUGUGGCAGAAAAUACCUUUGCUCAAAUAUUUCCAUCAUGUCGCUAUCUUGAGUAGUUUUUCUUUUCUUUUCGUACAAGGCUUGCAUGUAGGGAGAGAAAUCUUACAAGCCAAUAUUAUUUGAAAUGGGGUAUAGAACAAAUGAACAAUAGGGAGUGAUUGGUCAAGUAGUGCAGGAUUUUAUUAACUAGGAUACUUGUUUCUAGUUUAAGAAGAAAAAAAGCACUUUUGUUGAUCCAGUACACUUGUGGGUAUGAGAAUACUCAUAUUGUUUGCUCUUGUGAAUUCUAGUAGUUUCAUAUUGUUUGCUCUUGUGAAUUCUAGUAGUAAAUAACCACGUAAAAAUGAUGGCCUAGCAGCACUAAAAGUAUAUACUGUCUGCGUAUUUCUGUUGUGCAGAUGCUGAGAUUGUUUGGUGCCAAGAAGAACCGAUGAACAUGGGGGCGUAUGCCUACAUCAAUCCCCGGCUGCUGACCGCGAUGAGGGCGCUCGGUCGUGGCAGCAUAGAUGAUAUCAAGUACGUCGGAAGGGCCCCAUCUGCAGCCACAGCUACAGGUUUCUACACUGUCCAUGUGCAGGAGCAAACCGAGCUCGUGAAGAAGGCGCUGCAGCCAGACCCCAUCAAGUCCCCGUUCUGAACGUGUAGGUUCUUUGCAUAGCCAUGAGAGCUUCUGAUCUCCUACCAUGCAGAAAAACAACAGGUCUAAAUUACAGCCAUUUGGUGAAUAAUCGUUACGCAUGUGUGGUACCGCGCGCGUUAGAAACGGUCUGAGGUCCAUUUUUUCAGUGCAUAAUUUUGUUCCCGUCAUCGCCUUUUGUCUACAUCCUUUUGUUUUGCUGGGUGCUAAGGUAAAACAAGCUGUCCUACGGGACGGUACAUCCCUUUGCCAAUAAAGAACUGUACCCAGUACUGAUGUAUGUAUGUCCUACGUGACGGUACAUCCAUACUGCUGUGCCUUGCAUAUGAUUCCAGUCUGUCUCUCUGAAAUACUUGGAAAGAAACUGUACACAAGGACAGUUCAAUGAAGUGGCAGGCACGCUACUCUCUCCCAGGCCAAUUAUAUACUCCAUCCUUCCCAUAAUUCUUGUCGUUAAUUAUGGGAUGGAGGGAGUAUGUGGCACAUGCUUUCGUCUCGUCGCUAGACAUGCAUUAAGUAGGCUUCUUGUGUUACUAUUAUGUCUGAACUUGCCGUUUCCUUUCGUUCCAUUUCUUUUUUAGAUGCAAGAUCCAUGACUGCCCGGUAGAUCCAUUUCUUUUCUUUUGAAAAGGAAAGUAACCCUCACGAAAAAUUGAAUUGGCAUCCAACAACAAGAAACUGGAUAGCGGCCGCCUGGGCGUCCCAACGGGCCGAGGGCCAUAGCACUACCAGGCUGUUAGUUCCUCGGACGAACGCGCACUUAUACACAAGCAAAAGGGGACACCGGUCUUAGAAAAAACAAGCAAAAGGAUACUCAACUAAAAAAAGAAGAGCAAAAGGACACCCCUUGCCUCAAAGAAAAAACGAGCAAAAGGACGACGAUCCUACGCUUCGGCUCAACAAAAAGAAAGAAAAAAAGACGUUUGAUCUUUAAGAAUAGCAAGACAGAUAGCAAAUGCAGUAUUCGUGCACUCAUUAAUGCAGCUUAAGGCAAGGACCAGCUGUACAAAUCCAAGCGUGAUUUCUCUGUCAGUACUGUCCGGACAAUGAUAAUCACUUGGUCCUCUUCCCGGCUUUUGUUUGUGUCCCUUGCAUAGAGCACUUAUUCAUUGAACGGCGCCUCGGUGGCUGCAUCUUCAGAUUCAGACACCAUCUAUCACCCAAACAAGUUUAAUACGACUUCUUUCAAUUACACAAGGCCUGCAUAUAGUGGUUUAAGGCUAUUCAUAGUAAAAAGUACUCCCUCCGUCUCGGUUUAUAAGUCAUAUUACGAAAACCAAAUAAUCCCAAAACACUAAGGCACGAUGCAUUAACUUUUACCUCGUUUCUUGUUUUUUAACUUGAAGAAAGGAACCAACCAAUAAAAGACGCGGGGCGUGUUGUUUUUAAUGACUUGAGACUAACUAGCACGAUAUGCAUUGGUCAAUUCAUUGCACGCAAUGAUAUUAAUUAGCAAGUUAACAUUAAUUUUUCUUGUUUUUCUCUUCGUCUUGGUUGCGGUGCACAACCUAAGAUGAUUUAUAAACCGAUACGGAGGGAGUAUCGUAUAAUAGUAUCAUGCAUAUGAUAUUAUAAUGUGUGAUACUAUCUUAAUAGUACAUAAUAUCACAAAGUAGUAUCAUGUAUGAUCAUAUUUAUUGGACACAAAGUAGCAUAACAUUUAACCUGAUACGAUAUCUAUCUAUGUUACUCUAACUCUCUUUUCUUUAAUUCUUUGCCACGUCAGCUUGUUUGCUAUUUUCAAGUGCAUGAUACCGGCUAAGAUACCCCACUAUGGCCAGCCUAAUUGUGUGUUUUGCAUGGUGUAUUUUUCACACGGUUUGAGGUUUCUACGAGCAAAUCUAUGCUAGCUAAGGGCUCCAACAUUGAUCCUCAAAUCGUACACCGUAUCCGGAGGCGGCUCGAGCGCCGACCCCUUUCCCCCGUCUGAGCCCCCCUCCCGCUACUCCCUCUCCCCCUCCCGUCAUCGCCAAUAGCUCAUGCCGGACAAAGGUCGAGCGGAUUUGGCGGCGACGACGUCCUUCCCCAUGAAGAGUGUUCACGAGCCGGGGGAGGAGUCCUCCCUUGUGAUAUCAUCCAUGAUGCACCUAGAGUGUGCAUGUGCGAGGGAAAAGAAGCCAAGUUAGAUCGAUAGGGUGACUUGGACGCACUAGAAGAAGAGUUCGAACUUCUACCAACAACAGGCUUGGCGCUAUCAGAGCAGGGAAGUUCGUGCGAAGACAUAAAACUUGGGCGAGCUUGUGCUGCAUCUCCCUGAGAAGAAAAAGAAUAAACUUGCACUCAAAUAGGAGGGACCCUUAAUCAUUGACGACGUACUUACAUGAGGGGCGUAUCAUCUCCACAACGCGUGAGAUAAUCAUCUUGAACCAAACCCAUGGAACGCGGCUCGUCUUCGGCGUUUUAACAGCUAAGCUGGUGUAGUCAUGCUAAUUUAUUCCCUUGUUAUCUUUUUAGUUCCUUUUGUAUCCUUUUUCCUCUUUCAAGUGGUUUAACAUAUCCCACUUUCUGUUCGGAUAAACUGAACCGUGUCCAUGAACAUGUACUUUCCGUAGACACCUGGACUUUCUAAAGCCGAUAAUAGUACAUUUGUGCAUCUCUUUCAUGAUGCCUCUAUUAUUCCUAUACUUAAGCCUCUAUAUGCAGUAAGUUACACUUAAGAUUUUGCAAAGCUGGGUUGCCUUGCUCCUAUGUUUAUCCUCUAUGUUCCCGAUUGUUCGGCUAGAUGAUAAAGGGAGAACCUCUGUGAUUGUUAUGACUGGGUAAUCCGGAUACGUACCUCAGACGGAUGAAGCCGAAAGCUAGCGUUCUUAAUGGAAAAUUGGCCCGGCACAAGUAAGGCGACAAUAAUUAGGUGUUAUCACCAAUGGUUAAAUUUCCCAAGCAUACGCUCAAUCUACACACAACGGAUACUCUAGAACCCUAAGAAAGGAACUUAUAAAGCAACUAUUUUCUUGGGAAGAUGUUUCUUACUAAACAAAAGUAAUAUAACAUAACUCCAUGAUAAUUGUGUGUCUGUUAGCACCGUAUGGCUGGAUGAAAGUGCGUUAUAUCGACUAGAGGGGGGGUGAAUAGGAGAUUUUUAGAAUUUCAUCGUUGAGGAAAUUCCUUUUGAGGAAAUUCCUCACUGAUGAAUAACUUACAGCGAAACAACAAAGGAUCAGGGGUGCAAAGUAUCACUACAACAGUUUUCAAUAUGAGGAAUAUGAAAAACAGUUUGCACAGUACGCAGGCACAAAGUAAACAGGUGAUGAUUAACUCACAUGAAUAAUUUGAGGUUGAGGAAAUUCAGAGAAAGUCUUCAACAAAUUCUUCAAACAGAGACAAUGAAAAUCUCGAACAUACAAUAUUGAGGAAUUGAAAGAGUUGAAGAAAUAGAACCCGUAUCAGAGUGAAGACAGUGGUUGAUGAUCCAGUUCCAACUACUAUGACAGUUGUACAUCUGGUUUGGAGCGGCUUGGUGUUGAAACCAAAUGACACACAAUCCCGAGACACACAGUCCCUACCGUAUUCUCCUUGAGCUAAGGACACACAGUCCUCGCCCAACACUCGUGGUAAGUCUUCAGGACAGACUUCCAGACCCUCACAAACUUGGUCACUCGGCGAUCCAUAAUUGACUGCUGGAUUGCUCUAGACCAUGACGCCUAACCGUCUGGAGGNNNNNNNNNNCAGUCCUCAAAGGUAAAAGGCUUCAGUUCCACACAGGAAUAAAUUCUUCAGUGAUGCUCAAUCACUUGGUUUUUGGUUUGUGGUUUGGUGUUUGGGGUAUUUCCUCACUGAUGAUUUACUCUCGAAGACUCUCAGGAAUUUGGGUUGCUCUAAAUGACAAGUGUCAGUUUCUUGCGGAGCAGCCAACCAGCUAAUGGUUGUGGGGGCGGCUAUUUAUAGCCUGGGAGCAUCCUAACGUGAUUUGACAUUAAUGCCCUUAAAUAAUAUGACCGUUGAUGUGGCAUGAAUUACGGCAACGGUCGGGACCCUCAACUGUGAGAGUCCUCAUGUCUCUCAUAUUCCUCACUUGAGGCUUUUGUAGGAUUAGGCUUGGGUUGAGCAUCAUGAGGAAAUUCAUUCUGAAGUGUUACCUCGACCCCCUUUAAUAGUAAGGUGUUCCUAUGACUAAGAGUGAAGAAAAUGAAACAGAAAGAAUAAAUCUUCACGCUUCAAAGUCUUCGGAUCGUUUUUCUUCAGGACACACCGAAUUCCUCAUCUUCAAUAUCAUCAUGAGGAAUAUCAAUUUCAUCGCAAUUUCUUCGCGAUCAAAGUCUUCAGCAGAAAACCAAUUUAUUCAGCCAAAGAUAUACAUUUUUAGGGGUCGAUAUUCAUCGAAUAUUUCAAACUCCUCAACGACUUAUUGAUCUUGUGUACACUCAUGAACACAUUAGAUACUUAACCUAUAAAUCUUCAAACCACCAAAAUCACAAAGGGGCACUAGAUUCACUUACACUACUAUCUUCAUGAGGUUUUUGAUCGCACCUGGGCCACUCUGGCUCAUCUGAAGACUCAAGAAGAACUUGAUGAAUUGGAGUUUACUCAGGACUUCGACUCGUCGUGGCCUCCCAAGAAGAAAUUCAAGCCAAUUCUAGUUCCAGACCUUGAGGACAGCUCCUUUUCUUCCUUCAGCACUGCAGAUUUUGAUGAAGAACAAGAAGACACUACCACUGUCCCAAGGAGGAAGCCCGUUACCAAGAAUCCUCAUGCGUCUUCUUCAUCAGCCAAGAAGUGAAAGUCUUCAUGGGGCGUUAGUCCUCAGUUUUGUCCCUUUUCGUCACUUGGUGACAAAGGGGGAGAAAUCUUAGAGUUAGUAUUCACGUGGGAUAUAUUUUGGGGCUUAUGAACUUUAUUAAGUUACAAACUCUUGGUUCUUCUGAAGUGUUUUUAUGUAAUGAGUUGUAACUUAAGCCCGAUGGUACUCUGACGCUUUUGAACGUUUUUCUUCGCUGCUUAUUCCUUAAAAUAUUAAUGCACGCAUGCUGAAAUUCGUCAGAUACCAUUUCUCAUCAUUCAUUCUCAAAUUCUUCAUACUAUGUGUCAUAUGUAUUCAUGAUUUAUAAGAUACAGGGGAGAUCUCCAUGAUAUAAAUCAUCAAUGUGCAUUUGCUGUGAAAAGCAAAAUCCUCAAAAUAUGCACAUCUUUAGGGGGGGUCUCUUAGUAUCUUGAUUUCAAAUUCCUCAAAAUGAGUAUUUACACUUCAUAUUUUUAUCCCCGUUGAAGACUUAACCUAAUUGUCAUCAACCACCAAAAAGGGGGAGAUUGUAAGUNNNNNNNNNNGAAGAUAUUCAUUGUCACUGUUUGAAGAAUUUGCUGAAGACUUUCUCUGAAUUUUAUCAACCUCAAAUUCUUCACGCGAGUUAAUCCUCACCUUCUUACUUUGUGCGUGCGUACUGUGCAAAAUGUUUUUCAUAUUCCUCAUCUUGAAAACUGCUGUAGUGAUACUUUGCACCCCCGAUCCUUUGCUGUUUCCGCUACAAGUUAUUCAUCAGUGAGGUAUUUCCUCAAAAGGAAUUUCCUGAGUGAUGAAAUUCUAAAAAUCUCCUAUUCACCCCCCUCUAGUCGAUAUAACGUACUUUCANNNNNNNNNNAAGGUACUCCCUUGGUCUGUGUGAUUUUGGUUUAACCACCUGGAGUUUUAGUUAUGUGGACUGUAGGCAUUAUCAAGGUUACUGCAGGAUGUCCUAUUUUCGAAGGAAAGGACUUUCCCUUCUGGAAGACCAAGAUGCAGAUGCANNNNNNNNNNUGGUUUAACCACCUGAAGUUUUAGUUAUGUCGACUGCAGGCAUGAUCAAGGUUACUGCAUGAUGUCCUACUUUCGAAGGAAAGGACUUUCCCUUCUGGAAGACCAAGAUGCAGAUGCAUCUACAGGCUAUUGACAAUGAUCUCUGGUAUAUUGUGGAACAUGGUGUUCCCCUCAUCGUUGCUACUGUCUCUGCCGCCGGUGUGAAGAAAUUCAAGCAACUUGAUUCUCAAGCGAAGAAUAUCAUUUGUGGCCUUCUGAGUAAAGGUCAGUAUGGCAGAGUGAGUGCUUUGGGCUCAGCAAAACUAAUCUGGGAAAGGCUGUCCAAAGUAAAUGAAGGAGUAUCAACUCAGUGUGACUCUCGUGUUGAUGUUCUUCGCAAUCCCUUCAAUCGCUUCAAGAGGCUUGACAAUGGAAGCUGACAAGAUACCUUUGAUUGCCUCACUAACAUAUGAAAUGAACUGCAAGCACUCGGAGCUCGAGACAUUACUGACCAUGAAGUUGUGAAGAAACUGCUAAGAUCUUUGGAUUCUUCAUUUGAUACUUUGGUUCUGAUGAUUCAAGAAAGACCAGACUACAAGAUCGCUCAGGAAAUUCCUUUUGAGGAAAUUCCUCAUUGAUGAAUAACUUGCAGCGGAACAACAAAGGAUCAGGGGUGCAAAGUAUCAGUACAACAGUUUUCAAUAUCAGGAAUAUGAAAAACAGUUUGCACAGUACGCAGACAUAGAAUAAACAGGUGAUGAUUAACUCGCGUGAAGAAUUUGAGGUUGAGGAAAUUCGGAGAAAGUCUUCAGCAAAUUCUUCAAACAAAGACAAUGAAAAUCUUGAACAUAUAAUAUUGAGAAAUUGAGAGAGUUGAAGAAAUAGAACCCGUAUCACAGUGAAGACGGUGGUUGAUGACCAGUUCCAACUGCAUGUGACAGUUGUACGUCUGGUUUGGAGCGGCUUGGUAUUGAAACCAAANNNNNNNNNNUGCAGACACAGAGUAAACAGGUGAUGAUUAACUCGCGUGAGGAAUUUGAGGUUGAGGAAAUUCGGAGGAAGUCUUCAGCAAAUUCUUCAAACAAACACAAUGAAAAUCUUGAACAUAUAAUAUUGAGGAAUUGAGAGAGUUGAAGAAAUAGAACCCGUAUCACAGUGAAGACAGUGNNNNNNNNNNGGACACACAGCCCCGAAACACACAGUCCCUACCAUAUUCUCCUUGAGCUAAGGACACACAGUCCUUGCCCAACACUCGUGGUAAGUCUUCAGGGCAGACUUCCAAACCCUCACAAACUUGGUCACCCCGCGAUCCACAAUUGACUGCUGGAUUGCUCUAGACCAUGACGCCUAACCGUCUGGANNNNNNNNNNCCGAGACACACAGUCCCUACCGUAUUCUCCUUGAGCUAAUGACACAUAGUCUUCGCACUCGUGGUAAUUCUUUAGGGCAGACUUCCAAACCCUCACAAACUUGGUCACCCGGCGAUCAACAAUUGACUGCUGGAUUGCUCUAGACCAUGACGCCUAACCGUCUGGANNNNNNNNNNUCGAGACACAUAGUCCCUACCGUAUUCUCCUUGAGCUAAGGACACAUAGUCCUCGCACUCGUGGUAAGUCUUCAGGGCAGACUUCCAAACCCUCACAAACUUGGUCACUCGGCGAUCCACAAUUGACUAUUGGAUUACUCCAGACCAUGACGCCUAACCGUCUGGAGGAUGCAUAGUCCUCAAAGGUAAAAGGCUUCAGUUCCACACAGGAACAAAUUCUUCAGUGAUGCUCAAUCACUUGGUUUUUGGUUUGUUGUUUGGUGUUUGGGGUAUUUCCUCACUGAUGAUUUACUCUCGAAGANNNNNNNNNNGAGUCCUCAAAGGUAAAAGGCUUCAGUCCCACACAGGAACAAAUUCUUUAGUGAUGCUCAAUCACUUGGUUUUUGGUUUGUGGUUUGGUGUUUGGGGUAUUUCCUCACUGAUGAUUUACUCUCGAAGACUCUGAGGAAUUUGGGUUGCUUUAAAUGACAAGUGUCAGUUUCUUGCGGAGCAGCCAACCAACUAAUGGUUGUGGGGGCGGCUAUUUAUAGCUUGGGAGCAUCCCAACAUGAUUUGACAUUAAUGCCCUUAAAUAAUAUGACCGUUAGUGUGGAUAAGGUUGGUGAUGUGGCGUGAAUUGCGGCAAUGGCCGGGACGCUCAACUGUGAGAGUCCUCAUGUCUCUCAUAUUCCUCACUUGAGGCUUNNNNNNNNNNAUCUGAGUAAUUUGGGUUGCUCUAAAUGACAAGUGUCAGUUUCUCACGGAGCAGCCAAGCAGCUAAUGGUUGUGGGAGGAGGCUAUUUAUAGCCUGGGAGCAUCCCGACAUGAUUUGACAUUAACGCCCUUAAAUAAUAUGACCGUUGGUGUGGAUAAGAUCGGUGAUGUGGCGCGAAUUGCGGCAACGGUCGGGAUCCUCAACUGUGAGAGUCCUCAUGUCUCUUAUAUUCUUCACUUGAGGAUUUUGUAGGAUUAGGCUUGGGUUGAGCAUCAUGAGGAAAUUCAUUCCGNNNNNNNNNNNNNNNNNNNNNNNNNNNNNNNNNNNNNNNNNNNNNNNNNNNNNNNNNNNNNNNNNNNNNNNNNNNNNNNNNNNNNNNNNNNNNNNNNNNNACUUUUACUGUCUCUGCCGCCAAUGUGAAGAAUUCAAGCAACUUGAUUCUCAAGCGAAGAAUAUCAUUUGUGGCCAUCUGAGUAAAGGCCAGUAUGGUAGAGUGAGUGCUUUGGGCUCAGCAAAACUAAUCUGGGAAAUAGUGGCGGAGCUAGCGAAUUGCCAAAGCCUGGGCACGCCAUAAAUAAAUAUUCAUUUUGAUGUAUCAAACACCACUAGUAUCAUAUAUUUGAAUAAACUGUAUGUGCUUCAUAGAUGGCACAAGUAAAUAAAAACAAGAGAUACAAUAGCAAAUAACUUGCUAAGCACUAGAUACACAAUCAAACCUUUGUCUUGACGAUAAUAGUCCAAUCUCCAAUGUUCAUCGUUGUGCACACAAGAGAACCUACAAGAUACACCACAUUACCAAAUUAUACAUUUUUCACUGAGAUUAAACACAUUAGAUAGAAAUAUAGAAUGAACCAUACCACUAGUGUGCUAAUUGGACCUAGGUAAUUGCCCUUUCCGGGACUUCAUGGCCUGAAACCGUUUAAUGAUAGCGUCAUCAUCAAGUCCUUUAAAAAUCUCCCGCUCGGUGUAGCAAAUCAUCAAGUGAUUAAACCAUGUAUUAUUCAUCUUGCUGCGCAAUUGAGACUUGAUAAUCUCCAUUGCCGAGAAAGAUCUUUCAACCGAUGCCGUUGAGACCGGCAAUAACAAAGCCAACUCCAUGAGUCUGUAAACCAAUGGGAAAACCAAAUGCUUCUCAGUUUCGACCAUCUUUGUCACCAAAGUUUCCAGAGCUUUAUAAGAAGAAAAGGCCUCAUGCCUUCGUACAUGAAGAAUGCAAGUUUCAAGUUGGUUUCUUAUAAUUGCACGAUCACCACUAGAAAAAUCUCCAUGAUAAACUUCAGUUAAGCUAGCAAGCUUGUCAAUAUCAAACUUGGAGAAUGGAUUUUUUGGAUGAAGACAUGAGAAGGCCACUAUUAUAUUCAAAGAUGCUUCAUUAAAGCAAUGAUUCAUCUCAGUGCAUAUCUUGUCAAUGGCAACAUAGAAGAUCUCAACUCGAUAGAAAUGAAGAUUAGUGUAAGUCACACGAUCAAGCCUUGAACGACCUCGAACCGGUAUUCGUUCAUUCAUAACGGGCACAAGAAUACCUUUGGCGACACAAAAGUGUUGGACUUCAUCUAACAAGCUGUCCCAACCACUUUCUCUCAUAGAGGCCAAUCGAGUUUUGACAUCAUCAACUAGUUUAAUGGCAUUCACAAUGUUGACAUCUUUUCUUUGCAAGACUUGUGAGAGUUCAUUUGUGAUAGCAAGCAACCUUAUCAUAAGAUGUAGCACAAAAGAAAAUUUAAAACUCUCCAUUAUUUCUAUCAAACCCGCCGCUUGAGACGGCCCACGACCUUCAUCAUUGACCUCACGAAGCACAUAUAUGACUGACUUCCACAUCUGACUCAAACGAAGCAAAGUUGUAUGGUGUGAACCCCAUCUAGUAUCCCCGGGUCUUGCUAAAUUUGUUUCUUGGUUCAAACCUAUUCCACUAAAUAUCUCACCGCUCUCAAGUUGUUCUAAGUAUUUUGAUGACGGUCCUCUCUCAGUGAAUCCCUUCUCUUGCAAGAUACAAUAGUUGUGGUCACAAUCAAGGAGAAAUACUUAAACAAAUCAUGAAUAGAUGAGCAGCAACUAGCAACUAAGACUACCACCAACUGUAAACUAUGGGCAAAGCAAUGCACAUAAAAGGCAUAAGGGUUCUCAUCAAGAAUUUUCUUUUGCAAACCAUUGAAUUCACCUCUCAUAGUUGAAGCUCCAUCAUAUCCCUGCCCUCGGAGCCUAUGAAUGGAUAACUUGUAAUGAUCUAGAAGGUUGACAAGAGCUACCUUUAGUGCCUCUGAUGUAGUCUCACUCACAUGGUAUAUAGAGAGAAAUCGUUCCACCGCCUUCCCUUUAUCAUUAACAUACCUACACAAAAUUCGUAACAAGGUUUAGUAAAAGUAUGAAACCACUAUAAAAUAACAGCAAAAAUAAUAAUUAACCACUACUAACCUUAACAUUACCGCCAUUUCCUCUUUGACGGAUAUAUCACGUGACGCGUCGAUAAGAACAGAGAAUUUCUUAUCGCCAAUUUCUCUCAUGAUCACAUCGGUGACCUCUUCUGCGCAACACUUUGCAAGAUCUUUUUGAAUUUUAGCAGCAAGCAUCUUGCUAUUUCUACCACCAUGGUCAAAUGCAUGCCUCACUUUCUCAUCUCUAGCUUUGUGCCAAUCUACCAUCUCACGGAAGUUUCCCUUGUUCAAUGAAGUGGAACUUUCAUCAUGGCCACGAAAAGCCAAGCCUUGAGUAAUGAGAUAUCUUGCACACCCGAGAGAAGAGUGCAAACGGAUUUUGUAAAGUACUUCAGACUCCUUAGAUGCCCUAGCAAGCUUACUAGACACACUUUGCCUUUGAUUACAAAAAUAAUCAUAAUUCAAUAUUGCCUUGUUGUGUGCACUAUUUACCCCACCAACAUGAUCAGGCAAUGCUUGAUAAGCAUGCUUCCAAUCCUUGAACCCUUUUUUUGUGAAGACAUCAUAACCAAAAUGUGUACUACUUCCUGGUUCCUUAAAAAGAAAGCAGUAGAAACAAAAUGCGGCUUGCUUAGACUCACUAUAUUCUAACCAAUCAUAUCUCUUAUACAUCCUUAGAAAAUGCUCGGUUCUUGCUUCCAAUCUUUUUGCGAUCAAAUUUGUUGGUUGGUUGGGUUGGACCCUUCAAUACAUAUGCUCUUCUAACCUGGUCUUGAAUAUUUGGAUGAUAAUCAACAAUUUGCUGCCUCUGAGCGGGAUCACACAAAAUUUCAGUUGGAUUGAACUCAUCAUCAUCCCCAUCCUCAAAACAAUCCUCAUCAUCAUCAUCAUCGAGCAUUGCUUGCUCAAUCCAGUCCUGAACUUCAUCUACUUCGUCAUCAUCAUGUUGGUGAACAUCACUUGGUUGUGGGUCUUGUAUUGAUGGUUCCACUUGUGAAUUUCUUCUAGUGGUAACAAAAAAUCUGCUCAACUCUGAAAUUUUAACAAACAUAACUGCAUAACUAGAGCCGACACAAUCAAUGUUUAAAUGCACAAUUUCUUGGUAAAAUAGAGAGAUUCACUCACCUAAUUGCCACUUGCCGCUAGCCCUAAUUGUUGGUGGUAGACUGCUAUUGGAUGCCUCUUCACCAUGGCCUUGAACAGGUUGAUUUUUUGCUAGCGGCUCUCGUGGGGCUGGUGCUGAUGAUGGCGAGCCACUGUCUGCACGAGCCGGAGUAGAAUUUCCACCGGUACUGGAGGCUCCGCCGCCUUGGAGCGAGCGCUUGCGCUUCCGAUCUAGACCAUCGCCUGCCGUCGUCGGAGUCAUAGCAAAGGCCUUGCGAUCUUCCUGCCGACCUGUCCGACAAUAAUCCGGCGGUUUGCCUCGCCGGCUCGCCGGCUCGGAGUAGCAGUGGCACAACAGUUGCUAGUUCACGGCGUCACGUGUGGCACCCCGAUUCCAUGAAUCGGAUUAACAGUGCUUCCAACCCAGAGAUCAUGUCUUCUGGAAACACUCAACAACUUGGCACAGAACAUAACUGACUUUAUUGAUAGCAUAAUGUUACAAGAGCAUAUCUUACAAUGAUAGCGAGGCCAAAGGCACCCUUGGUGCAGCACAAUAUCUACAUUAUUUAUGAGACAUAGCCGGGCCUCGAAACUCCCAAGUACUUCUACGGCGUAGCGGAAUAUAGCGGCAACUCCAUACACAGGGACACUGCUGUGGACACUUCCUAGUACGCAUCAUCAGGACCUCCGUCCUUGGCUUCUCCUGCAUCUGGCAUGAUACGCCAGGUGAGUACUUUGAAUGUACUCGCAAGCUCAUAAUACCCAAGCAAUGGAACAAACAAUAGCAUGGCGAAAAAUUAAGAAUAAUACCACUUGACUUUACAACAACCACUUACUCAUGCCCGGGGUUGUCUCACAACCACCAGAAUGCUCAUCAAGCAUCUCCACUCAACUGGAGAGUUCUUCCAUCAAUAUUAACAUCCACACGGGUGACCAUCUACUGAGGUCUGGUCGGGCCGUCCAUUACCGUGGACACGGCUACUCGAAUAGUUUUAUAGUUUGCACAGGUUGCACACUUUACCCAGACUCUGGAGCACUGACCUCGUGAUCCCAUUCGGGUGGACCAGCAUUGCUCCAACGCAACUUGCCUGACCCGUGACUCUCUAAUCAUAUCCCCGGCAACCACUCCCUUCCAGAGUCCUGCCCUGGGUGGCCCCAUGUCCUCAUGACACCUGCCACCGUCGUGGUUAAACAAAACUGUCCCAAACGGGGACGGGCCCAACUCAACUUAACUGGGCUCACAGACUUAUCACCGCCCACCGGGACAAGGUGGCACGCAUGGAUAACCCUCCCUCUUUGGGGCAUAUCGGUGAGAGAUCACGCGGACAACCCAAGUCACGGCCUUCCCAUACCGGCAAGAGGUGGUUGUACGGUUAUGCCCGGUCAGGUGACUCAUGAUCAUCCACCAUAUCAUAGCAACCAUAGUAACUCAUAAUAAUAAGCAUAUAUCUCUAUAUGAUCAUUUAUUAAAUCAUUAUUUUCUUACCAAGUUAAGCAAUUUUAAUGUAUGAGGAUGUGAGCUAUGCUAUGCAAAACUACAUCACAUGGAUAUGAUGGCUUGCCUUGAUCAGUGGGGUUGUUCAAACACUCCUGGUCUUCAAAGUUUCCCUCUGAAAAUGUAUUUGAAAUAGCAAAAGAAAAGGAAAAGCAUUAAAUACCUUUUUUUAACCAGCAAUUCUACGAGUGUGGGAAAAAUACCAAAAUUUACCAGAUUGUAAAGAAUUUCAAUACAAACCCAAUGCAAAAAGAAUCAAGUGAUUUGGACUUGUAGAUAAAAAUAUUUAAAUGGUCAAAGUUUCUGUUAAAAACUGAAAUAAAUAAAAGAAAAGAAAACCUGGGGGGCACGUCGAAGGCGUAAAGUGGAGGGGCGCCUCCACUUAACGCUUCGGCCGCAGGCCGCAGCCUCUGGCAGGCGGGGCCUGCUUUUUUAAAACAGAGAGAGAGGAGGGGGAACAGAGGAGGGCGGCUCACCGGCGACGCUCACCGGCGAUAGGGACGGCGACGAGGCUCGGAGAUGACGGGAAUGGAACGGACGCUCGACGGCUAUCCUCCGUGUACCCGUAGCUCCUCCGGAGGUGGACGGCCGACGUCGCCCCUUUUUCUCCGGCGGGUGGAGGCUACGAUGGUCGUUGACGGCGACGAUUCCAGUAGGGAUUCAACUUACCGACGGCUCGAGGAGCACCAGAGGGACCCAAGGNNNNNNNNNNGAGGCCGCAGCCCCUGGCAGGUGGGGCCUGCCCUUUUAAAACAGAGAGAGAGAGGAGGGGGAACAGAGGAGGGCGGCUCACCGGCGAUGCUCAGCAGCGAUAGGGGCGGCGACGAGGUUGGGAGAUGACGGGAAUGGAACGGGCGCUCGACGGCGAUCCUCCUUGUACCCGUAGCUCCUCCGGAGGUGGACGGAUGGCGUCGCCCCUCUUUCUCCGGCGGGUGGAGGCUACGGUGGUCGUCGACGGCGACGAUUCCGGCAGGGAUUCAACUUACCGACGGCUCGAGGAGCACCAGAGGGACCCAAGGNNNNNNNNNNNNNNNNNNNNNNNNNNNNNNNNNNNNNNNNNNNNNNNNNNNNNNNNNNNNNNNNNNNNNNNNNNNNNNNNNNNNNNNNNNNNNNNNNNNNAUUAUGCCAUCACUAUGGGUUGUGAAGCAACCUAUAGCUUGGAUGAGCUUUAAGACCCAAAACUUUUGCAACCUCUUCUCAAUGCUAUAUGAUUUCAAAAUAUGCAAAAAUAUUUCUAUGUCCAAUGGAUAAUUAUGGCCAUAAUAAUUAUUUAUUAUCUGACCAGAAUUACCCCUUUGUGAAGCAACCCUAUGAUUCCUGUUUUGAAAAAGUCCCAAUAAAUUCCUGUAGUUACUAGGGAUCCUAUAUGGUUCCAAUACGUAAAAACAUCCCAUGGUCCAGUACAAAUUUUGAGCAAAAACACUCUGCUCAGUUUCUGCUAAAACAGGACCUUUGUGAAGGAAGUACCAUCUAGGAGUGCACAAUGGAGCUACAAAUUUUUGGGCAUGUGUGCACCACCAAAUGACAAUUCCCCACCAAAAGACACUGGUAGAAAAGCUUGCAAUUGAGUGCUAGGAACUCAUUUGUGUUCUGGACCAGAAAGGUUGUUUACAAAGGAACUAUAUUCAUUUGAUCUUCAAACCUUGCCAAAUUUUGUUAAUUUAGAGUCUUUUCUAUGCUGAUUCCAUUAGACAUCUUAGUUUGCUCUUAUCCCAACCCUGUUGAGCUCCAGAUCAACCCAAAGUCUGCUGGCAGAACCUGUUGAUGAUUUUCCUAGUCACAGCACAGCUUGUAUGCUUAGGCAAGCAGUGGAUGGUGACUUAUGGAAGGUUGGUCGACGCAAUGGACAAGGUGUCAAGGCUUGCGUGGCACCAGGAUGGCCGCAACCGUGGUGACCACGGUGCUGGCAUGCCACAGAGUGGGCUCUACGCAGCUCCAGUGACAGCCGAGUCGUCCCGAGCCGUCAAUCGCUGCCCCCCCCCACCUUGUCCGAAGCGCUGACAAGGUCCCUCGUAGCCGCGUGGCACCUCCCGAACCCUCUGAUUUGCCGGGGAAUGCCGCCGGCGCUCCCGGCCAAGCUCCGCCACGGGCAACACAGUGGGCUUCGGCCACUGUGGUCGUCCACACGCCAUUAAUGGCUCCGGACCCGUCCCGUCGCUCCACUGACCUCCUCCAUCACCUCACCACCGCACCGUGACAGCCAGCUUGUCAUCCUUGCUCCAGUGGCCAGCCCGAGCCUCGCCGCUUUGGGAGAGCUCGGCAACGCUCGUCGCUGGCCUAUUUAAGACGCUACCCGAACCCCUCCUAGCUCCCACCCCUCUCCUCCACCUCUGGAUUAGCCCUAGAGCCCCCCCCCCAGCAAGAGCCGGGAGCUCGUCUCCCUCAGCUAUGGACAGUUGCUCCGCCGCCAAAUCCCCCUCUGUCGCCAGCCUCCUCCGCCCCUCCCCAGUCCAAUCCAAGGCCACCAGUGCGUUCCUUGGGUCCCUCUGGUGCUCCUCGAGCCGUCGGUAAGUUGAAUCCCUNNNNNNNNNNNNNNNNNNNNNNNNNNNNNNNNNNNNNNNNNNNNNNNNNNNNNNNNNNNNNNNNNNNNNNNNNNNNNNNNNNNNNNNNNNNNNNNNNNNNAUUAUGCCAUCACUAUGGGUUGUGAAGCAACCUAUAGCUUGGAUGAGCUUUAAGACCCAAAACUUUUGCAACCUCUUCUCAAUGCUAUAUGAUUUCAAAAUAUGCAAAAAUAUUUCUAUGUCCAAUGGAUAAUUAUGGCCAUAAUAAUUAUUUAUUAUCUGACCAGAAUUACCCCUUUGUGAAGCAACCCUAUGAUUCCUGUUUUGAAAAAGUCCCAAUAAAUUCCUGUAGUUACUAGGGAUCCUAUAUGGUUCCAAUACGUAAAAACAUCCCAUGGUCCAGUACAAAUUUUGAGCAAAAACACUCUGCUCAGUUUCUGCUAAAACAGGACCUUUGUGAAGGAAGUACCAUCUAGGAGUGCACAAUGGAGCUACAAAUUUUUGGGCAUGUGUGCACCACCAAAUGACAAUUCCCCACCAAAAGACACUGGUAGAAAAGCUUGCAAUUGAGUGCUAGGAACUCAUUUGUGUUCUGGACCAGAAAGGUUGUUUACAAAGGAACUAUAUUCAUUUGAUCUUCAAACCAUGCCAAAUUUUGCCAAUUUAGAGUCUUUUCUAUGAUGAUUCCAUUAGACAUCUUAGUUUGCUCUUAUCCCAACCCUGUUGAGCUCCAGAUCAACCCAAAGUCUGCUGCAGAACGUGUUGAUGAUUUUCCUAGUCACAACAGAACUUGUAUGCUCACGCAAGCAGUGGAUGGUGACUGAUGGAAGGUCGGUCGACGCAAUGGACAAGGUGUCAAGGCUUGCGUGGCACCAGGAUGGCCGCAACCGUGUUGACCACGGUGCUGGCAUGCCACAAAGCGCGCUCUGCGCAGCUCCAGUGACAGCCGACCCGUCAAUCGCUGCCCCCCCCCCUUGUCUGAAGCGCAGACGAGGUCCCUGGUAGCCGUGUGGCACCUCCCGAACCCUCUGGUUCGCCGGGGAAGGCCGCCGACGCUCCCGGCCAAGCUUCGCCAUGGGCAACACAGUGGGCUUCGGCCACUGUGGUCGUCCGCACGCCAUUAAUGGCUCCGGACCCGUCCCGUCGCUCCCCUGACCUCCUCCAUCACCUCACCACUGCGCCGCGACAGCCAGCUCGUCGUCCUUCCCCCAGUGGCCAGCCCGAGCCUCGCCACUUUGGGAGAGCUCGGCAGCGCUCGUCGCUGGCCUAUUUAAGACGCUACCCGAACCCCUCCUAGCUCCCACCCCUCUCCUCCACCUCUGGAUUAGCCCUAGAGCCCGCCCCCCCCCCAGCAAGAGCCGGGAGCUCGUCUCCCUCAGCUCCGACGAGUUGCUCUACCGCCAAAUCCCCCUCUGUCGCCAGCCUCCUCCGCCCCUCCCCAGUCCAAUCCAAGGCCACCAGUGUGUUCCUUGGGUCCCUCUGGUGCUCCUCGAGCCGUCGGUAAGUUGAAUCCCUACUGGAAUCGUCGCCGUCAACGACCAUCGUAGCCUCCACCCGCCGGAGAAAAAGGGGCGACGUCGGCCGUCCACCUCCGGAGGAGCUACGGGUACACGGAGGAUAGCCGUCGAGCGUCCGUUCCAUUCCCGUCAUCUCCGAGCCUCGUCGCCGUCCCUAUCGCCGGUGAGCGUCGCCGGUGAGCCGCCCUCCUCUGUUCCCCCUCCUCUCUCUCUGUUUUAAAAAAGCAGGCCCCGCCUGCCAGAGGCUGCGGCCUGCGGCCGAAGCGUUAAGUGGAGGCGCCCCUCCACUUUACGCCUUCGACGUGCCCCCCAGGUCCCCCCCCUUCUUUUAUUUAUUUCAGUUUUUAACAGAAACUUUGACCAUUUAAAUAUUUUUAUCUACAAGUCCAAAUCACUUGAUUCUUUUUGCAUUGGGUUUGUAUUGAAAUUCUUUACAAUCUGGUAAAUUUUGGUAUUUUUCCCACACUCGUAGAAUUGCUGGUUAAAAAAAGGUAUUUAAUGCUUUUCCUUUUCUUUUGCUAUUUCAAAUACAUUUUCAGAGGGAAACUUUGAAGACCAGGAGUGUUUGAACAACCCCACUGAUCAAGGCAAGCCAUCAUAUCCAUGUGAUGUAGUUUUGCAUAGCAUAGCUCACAUCCUCAUACAUUAAAAUUGCUUAACUUGGUAAGAAAAUAAUGAUUUAAUAAAUGAUCAUAUAGAGAUAUAUGCUUAUUAUUAUGAGUUACUAUGGUUGCUAUGAUAUGGUGGAUGAUCAUGAGUCACCUGACCGGGCAUAACCGUACAACCACCUCUUGCCGGUAUGGGAAGGCCGUGACUUGGGUUGUCCGCGUGAUCUCUCACCGAUAUGCCCCAAAGAGGGAGGGUUAUCCAUGCGUGCCACCUUGUCCCGGUGGGCGGUGAUAAGUCUGUGAGCCCAGUUAAGUUGAGUUGGGCCCGUCCCCGUUUGGGACAGUUUUGUUUAACCACGACGGUGGCAGGUGUCAUGAGGACAUGGGGCCACCCAGGGCAGGACUCUGGAAGGGAGUGGUUGCCGGGGAUAUGAUUAGAGAGUCACGGGUCAGGCAAGUUGCGUUGGAGCAAUGCUGGUCCACCCGAAUGGGAUCACGAGGUCAGUGCUCCAGAGUCUGGGUAAAGUGUGCAACCUGUGCAAACUAUAAAACUAUUCGAGUAGCCGUGUCCACGGUAAUGGACGGCCCGACCAGACCUCAGUAGAUGGUCACCCGUGUGGAUGUUAAUAUUGAUGGAAGAACUCUCCAGUUGAGUGGAGAUGCUUGAUGAGCAUUCUGGUGGUUGUGAGACAACCCCGGGCAUGAGUAAGUGGUUGUUGUAAAGUCAAGUGGUAUUAUUCUUAAUUUUUCGCCAUGCUAUUGUUUGUUCCAUUGCUUGGGUAUUAUGAGCUUGCGAGUACAUUCAAAGUACUCACCUGGCGUAUCAUGCCAGAUGCAGGAGAAGCCAAGGACGGAGGUCCUGAUGAUGCGUACUAGGAAGUGUCCACAGCAGUGUCCCUGUGUAUGGAGUUGCCGCUAUAUUCCGCUACGCCGUAGAAGUACUUGGGAGUUUCGAGGCCCGGCUAUGUCUCAUAAAUAAUGUAGAUAUUGUGCUGCACCAAGGGUGCCUUUGGCCUCGCUAUCAUUGUAAGAUAUGCUCUUGUAACAUUAUGCUAUCAAUAAAGUCAGUUAUGUUCUGUGCCAAGUUGUUGAGUGUUUCCAGAAGACAUGAUCUCUGGGUUGGAAGCACUGUUAAUCCGAUUCAUGGAAUCGGGGUGCCACACGUGACGCCGUGAACUAGCAACUGUUGUGCCACUGCUACUCCGAGCCGGCGAGCCGGCGAGGCAAACCGCCGGAUUAUUGUCGGACAGGUCGGCAGGAAGAUCGCAAGGCCUUUGCUAUGACUCCGACGACGGCAGGCGAUGGUCUAGAUCGGAAGCGCAAGCGCUCGCUCCAAGGCGGCGGAGCCUCCAGUACCGGUGGAAAUUCUACUCCGGCUCGUGCAGACAGUGGCUCGCCAUCAUCAGCACCAGCCCCACGAGAGCCGCUAGCAAAAAAUCAACCUGUUCAAGGCCAUGGUGAAGAGGCAUCCAAUAGCAGUCUACCACCAACAAUUAGGGCUAGCGGCAAGUGGCAAUUAGGUGAGUGAAUCUCUCUAUUUUACCAAGAAAUUGUGCAUUUAAACAUUGAUUGUGUCGGCUCUAGUUAUGCAGUUAUGUUUGUUAAAAUUUCAGAGUUGAGCAGAUUUUUUGUUACCACUAGAAGAAAUUCACAAGUGGAACCAUCAAUACAAGACCCACAACCAAGUGAUGUUCACCAACAUGAUGAUGACGAAGUAGAUGAAGUUCAGGACUGGAUUGAGCAAGCAAUGCUCGAUCCCCCCCCCCCCCGAGGAUUGUUUUGAGGAUGGGGAUGAUGAUGAGUUCAAUCCAACUGAAAUUUUGUGUGAUCCCGCUCAGAGGCAGCAAAUUGUUGAUUAUCAUCCAAAUAUUCAAGACCAGGUUAGAAGAGCAUAUGUAUUGAAGGGUCCAACCCAACCAACCAACAAAUUUGAUCGCAAAAAGAUUGGAAGCAAGAACCGAGCAUUUUCUAAGGAUGUAUAAGAGAUAUGAUUGGUUAGAAUAUAGUGAGUCUAAGCAAGCCGCAUUUUGUUUCUACUGCUUUCUUUUUAAGGAACCAGGAAGUAGUACACAUUUUGGUUAUGAUGUCUUCACAAAAAAAGGGUUCAAGGAUUGGAAGCAUGCUUAUCAAGCAUUGCCUGAUCAUGUUGGUGGGGUAAAUAGUGCACACAACAAGGCAAUAUUGAAUUAUGAUUAUUUUUGUAAUCAAAGGCAAAGUGUGUCUAGUAAGCUUGCUAGGGCAUCUAAGGAGUCUGAAGUACUUUACAAAAUCCGUUUGCACUCUUCUCUCGGGUGUGCAAGAUAUCUCAUUACUCAAGGCUUGGCUUUUCGUGGCCAUGAUGAAAGUUCCACUUCAUUGAACAAGGGAAACUUCCGUGAGAUGGUAGAUUGGCACAAAGCUAGAGAUGAGAAAGUGAGGCAUGCAUUUGACCAUGGUGGUAGAAAUAGCAAGAUGCUUGCUGCUAAAAUUCAAAAAGAUCUUGCAAAGUGUUGCGCAGAAGAGGUCACCGAUGUGAUCAUGAGAGAAAUUGGCGAUAAGAAAUUCUCUGUUCUUAUCGACGCGUCACGUGAUAUAUCCGUCAAAGAGGAAAUGGCGGUAAUGUUAAGGUUAGUAGUGGUUAAUUAUUAUUUUUGCUGUUAUUUUAUAGUGGUUUCAUACUUUUACUAAACCUUGUUACGAAUUUUGUGUAGGUAUGUUAAUGAUAAAGGGAAGGCGGUGGAACGAUUUCUCUCUAUAUACCAUGUGAGUGAGACUACAUCAGAGGCACUAAAGGUAGCUCUUGUCAACCUUCUAGAUCAUUACAAGUUAUCCAUUCAUAGGCUCCGAGGGCAGGGAUAUGAUGGAGCUUCAACUAUGAGAGGUGAAUUCAAUGGUUUGCAAAAGAAAAUUCUUGAUGAGAACCCUUAUGCCUUUUAUGUGCAUUGCUUUGCCCAUAGUUUACAGUUGGUGGUAGUCUUAGUUGCUAGUUGCUGCUCAUCUAUUCAUGAUUUGUUUAAGUAUUUCUCCUUGAUUGUGACCACAACUAUUGUAUCUUGCAAGAGAAGGGAUUCACUGAGAGAGGACCGUCAUCAAAAUACUUAGAACAACUUGAGAGCGGUGAGAUAUUUAGUGGAAUAGGUUUGAACCAAGAAACAAAUUUAGCAAGACCCGGGGAUACUAGAUGGGGUUCACACCAUACAACUUUGCUUCGUUUGAGUCAGAUGUGGAAGUCAGUCAUAUAUGUGCUUCGUGAGGUCAAUGAUGAAGGUCGUGGGCCGUCUCAAGCGGCGGGUUUGAUAGAAAUAAUGGAGAGUUUUAAAUUUUCUUUUGUGCUACAUCUUAUGAUAAGGUUGCUUGCUAUCACAAAUGAACUCUCACAAGUCCCCCCCCCCCCCCCCCGUCAACAUUGUGAAUGCCAUUAAACUAGUUGAUGAUGUCAAAACUCGAUUGGCCUCUAUGAGAGAAAGUGGUUGGGACAGCUUGUUAGAUGAAGUCCAACACUUUUGUGUCGCCAAAGGUAUUCUUGUGCCCGUUAUGAAUGAACGAAUACCGGUUCGAGGUCGUUCAAGGCUUGAUCGUGUGACUUACACUAAUCUUCAUUUCUAUCGAGUUGAGAUCUUCUAUGUUGCCAUUGACAAGAUAUGCACUGAGAUGAAUCAUUGCUUUAAUGAAGCAUCUUUGAAUAUAAUAGUGGCCUUCUCAUGUCUUCAUCCAAAAAAUCCAUUCUCCAAGUUUGAUAUUGACAAGCUUGCUAGCUUAACUGAAGUUUAUCAUGGAGAUUUUUCUAGUGGUGAUCGUGCAAUUAUAAGAAACCAACUUGAAACUUGCAUUCUUCAUGUACGAAGGCAUGAGGCCUUUUCUUCUUAUAAAGCUCUGGAAACUUUGGUGACAAAGAUGGUCGAAACUGAGAAGCAUUUGGUUUUCCCAUUGGUUUACAGACUCAUGGAGUUGGCUUUGUUAUUGCCGGUCUCAACGGCAUCGGUUGAAAGAUCUUUCUCGGCAAUGGAGAUUAUCAAGUCUCAAUUGCGCAGCAAGAUGAAUAAUACAUGGUUUAAUCACUUGAUGAUUUGCUACACCGAGCGGGAGAUUUUUAAAGGACUUGAUGAUGACGCUAUCAUUAAACGGUUUCAGGCCAUGAAGUCCCGGAAAGGGCAAUUACCUAGGUCCAAUUAGCACACUAGUGGUAUGGUUCAUUCUAUAUUUCUAUCUAAUGUGUUUAAUCUCAGUGAAAAAUGUAUAAUUUGGUAAUGUGGUGUAUCUUGUAGGUUCUCUUGUGUGCACAACGAUGAACAUUGGAGAUUGGACUAUUAUCGUCAAGACAAAGGUUUGAUUGUGUAUCUAGUGCUUAGCAAGUUAUUUGCUAUUGUAUCUCUUGUUUUUAUUUACUUGUGCCAUCUAUGAAGCACAUACAGUUUAUUCAAAUAUAUGAUACUAGUGGUGUUUGAUACAUCAAAAUGAAUAUUUAUUUAUGGCGUGCCCAGGCUUUGGCAAUUCGCUAGCUCCGCCACUAUUUCCCAGAUUAGUUUUGCUGAGCCCAAAGCACUCACUCUACCAUACUGGCCUUUACUCAGAUGGCCACAAAUGAUAUUCUUCGCUUGAGAAUCAAGUUGCUUGAAUUCUUCACAUUGGCGGCAGAGACAGUAAAAGUGAUGAGGGGAACACCAUGUUCCACAAUAUACCAGAGAUCAUUUUCAAUAGCUUGUAGAUGCAUCUGCAUCUUGGUCUUCCAGAAGGGAAAGUCCUUUCCUUCGAAAGUAGGACAUCAUGCAGUAACCUUGAUCAUGCCUGCAGUCGACAUAACUAAAACUUCAGGUGGUUAAACCAAAAUCACACAGAAAAAGGAAGUACCUCGCUCUGAUACCAAUUGAAAGUACGUUAUAUCGACUAGAGGGGGGUGAAUAGGAGAUUUUUAGAAUUUCAUCACUCAGGAAAUUCCUUUUGAGGAAAUACCUCACUGAUGAAUAACUUGUAGCGGAAACAGCAAAGGAUCGGGGGUGCAAAGUAUCACUACAGCAGUUUUCAAGAUGAGGAAUAUGAAAAACAUUUUGCACAGUACGCACGCACAAAGUAAGAAGGUGAGGAUUAACUCGCGUGAAGAAUUUGAGGUUGAUAAAAUUCAGAGAAAGUCUUCAGCAAAUUCUUCAAACAGUGACAAUGAAUAUCUUCAACAUACAAUAUUGAGGAAUUGAAAGAGUUGAAGAAAUAGAACCCGUAUCACAGUGAAGACAGUGGUUGAUGACCCAGUUCCAACUGAUGUGACAGUUGUACGUCUGGUUUGGAGCGGCUUGGUAUUGAAACCAAAGGACACACAGCCCCGAAACACACAGUCCCUACCAUAUUCUCCUUGAGCUAAGGACACACAGUCCUUGCCCAACACUCGUGGUAAGUCUUCAGGGCAGACUUCCAAACCCUCACAAACUUGGUCACCCCGCGAUCCACAAUUGACUGCUGGAUUGCUCUAGACCAUGACGCCUAACCGUCUGGAGGAUGCACAGUCCUCAAAGGUAAAAGGCUUCAGUUCCACACAGGAAUAAAUUCUUCAGUGAUGCUCAAUCACUUGGUUUUUGGUUUGUGGUUUGGUGUUUGGGGUAUUUCCUCACUGAUGAUUUACUCUCGAAGACUCUCAGGAAUUUGGGUUGCUCUAAAUGACAAGUGUCAGUUUCUUGCGGAGCAGCCAACCAGCUAAUGGUUGUGGGGGCGGCUAUUUAUAGCCUGGGAGCAUCCUAACGUGAUUUGACAUUAAUGCCCUUAAAUAAUAUGACCGUUGAUGUGGCAUGAAUUACGGCAACGGUCGGGACCCUCAACUGUGAGAGUCCUCAUGUCUCUCAUAUUCCUCACUUGAGGCUUUUGGUAGGAUUAGGCUUGGGUUGAGCAUCAUGAGGAAAUUCAUUCUGAAGUGUUACCUCGACCCCCUUUAAUAGUAAGGUGUUCCUAUGACUAAGAGUGAAGAAAAUGAAACAGAAAGAAUAAAUCUUCACGCUUCAAAGUCUUCGGAUCGUUUUUCUUCAGGACACACCGAAUUCCUCAUCUUCAAUAUCAUCAUGAGGAAUAUCAAUUUCAUCGCAAUUUCUUCGCGAUCAAAGUCUUCAGCAGAAAACCAAUUUAUUCAGCCAAAGAUAUACAUUUUUAGGGGUCGAUAUUCAUCGAAUAUUUCAAACUCCUCAGCGACUUAUAGAUCUUGUGUACACUCAUGAACACAUUAGAUACUUAACCUAUAAAUCUUCAAACCACCAAAAUCACAAAGGGGCACUAGAUUCACUUACACUACUAUCUUCAUGAGGUUUUUGAUCGCACCUGGGCCACUCUGGCUCAUCUGAAGACUCAAGAAGAACUUGAUGAAUUGGAGUUUACUCAGGACUUCGACUCGUCGUGGCCUCCCAAGAAGAAAUUCAAGCCAAUUCUAGUUCCAGACCUUGAGGACAGCUCCUUUUCUUCCUUCAGCACUGCAGAUUUUGAUGAAGAACAAGAAGACACUACCACUGUCCCAAGGAGGAAGCCCGUUACCAAGAAUCCUCAUGCGUCUUCUUCAUCAGCCAAGAAGUGAAAGUCUUCAUGGGGCGUUAGUCCUCAGUUUUGUCCCUUUUCGUCACUUGGUGACAAAGGGGGAGAAAUCUUAGAGUUAGUAUUCACGUGGGAUAUAUUUUGGGGCUUAUGAACUUUAUUAAGUUACAAACUCUUGGUUCUUCUGAAGUGUUUUUAUGUAAUGAGUUGUAACUUAAGCCCGAUGGUACUCUGACGCUUUUGAACGUUUUUCUUCGCUGCUUAUUCCUUAAAAUAUUAAUGCACGCAUGCUGAAAUUCGUCAGAUACCAUUUCUCAUCAUUCAUUCUCAAAUUCUUCAUACUAUGUGUCAUAUGUAUUCAUGAUUUAUAAGAUACAGGGGAGAUCUCCAUGAUAUAAAUCAUCAAUGUGCAUUUGCUGUGAAAAGCAAAAUCCUCAAAAUAUGCACAUCUUUAGGGGGGGUCUCUUAGUAUCUUGAUUUCAAAUUCCUCAAAAUGAGUAUUUACACUUCAUAUUUUUAUCCCCGUUGAAGACUUAACCUAAUUGUCAUCAACCACCAAAAAGGGGGAGAUUGUAAGUCCAUCUAGUGCCCCUUAGUGAUUUUGGUGAUUUGAAGACUUAUAGGUUAAGUAUCUAAUGUGUUCAUGAGUGUACACAAGAUCAAUAAGUCGCUGAGGAGUUUGAAUUAUACGAUAAAUAUCGACCCCUAAAAAUGUAUAUCUUCGGUUGAAGAAAUUGGUCUUCUGGUGAAGACUUUGAUCGCAAAGAAAUUGCGGUGAAAUUGAUAUUCCUCAUGAAGAUAUUGAAGAUGAGGAAUUCGAUGUGUCCUGAAGAAAAACGAUCUGAAGACUUUGAAGCGUGAAGAUUUAUUAUUUCUGUUUCAUUUUCUUCACUCUUGAGUCAUAGGAACACCGUACUGUUAAAGGGGGUCGAGGUAACACUUUAGAAUGAAUUUCCUCAUGAUGCUCAACCCAAGCCUAAUCCUACAAAAGCCUCAAGUGAGGAAUAUGAGAGACAUGAGGACUCUCACAGUUGAGGGUCCCGACCGUUGCCGCAAUUCGCGCCACAUCAUCGAUCUUAUCCACACCAAUAGUCAUAUUAUUUAAGGAAAUUAAUAUCAAAUCAUGUCGGGAUGCUCCCAGGCUAUAAAUAGCCCCCCCCCAACCAUUAGCUGGUUGGCUGCUCCGCGAGAAACUGACACUUGUCAUUUAGAGCAACCCAAAUUUCUCAGUCUUCGAGAGUAAAUCAUCAGUGAGGAAAUACCCCAAACACCAAACCACAAACCAAAAACCAAGUGAUUGAGCAUCAUUGAAGAAUUUGUUCCUGUGUGGAACUAAAGCCUUUUACCUUUGAGGACUGUGCAUCCUCCAGACGGUUAGGCGUCAUGGUCUAGAGCAAUCCAGCAGUCAAUUAUGGAUCGCCGAGUGACCAAGUUUGUGAGGGUCUGGAAGUCUGUCCUGAAGACUUACCACGAGUGUUGGGCGAGGACUGUGUGUCCUUAGCUCAAGGAGAAUACGGUAGGGACUGUGUGUCUCGGGAUUGUGUGUCAUUUGGUUUCAACACCAAGCCGCUCCAAACCAGAUGUACAACUGUCAUAGUAGUUGGAACUGGAUCAUCAACCACUGUCUUCACUCUGAUACGGGUUCUAUUUCUUCAACUCUUUCAAUUCCUCAAUAUUGUAUGUUCGAGAUUUUCAUUGUCUCUGUUUGAAGAAUUUGUUGAAGACUUUCUCUGAAUUUCCUCAACCUCAAAUUAUUCAUGUGAGUUAAUCAUCACCUGUUUACUUUGUGCCUGCGUACUGUGCAAACUGUUUUUCAUAUUCCUCAUAUUGAAAACUGUUGUAGUGAUACUUUGCACCCCUGAUCCUUUGUUGUUUCGCUGUAAGUUAUUCAUCAGUGAGGAAUUUCCUCAAAAGGAAUUUCCUCAACGAUGAAAUUCUAAAAAUCUCCUAUUCACCCCCCCUCUAGUCGAUAUAACGCACUUUCAUCCAGCCAUACGGUGCUAACAGACACACAAUUAUCAUGGAGUUAUGUUAUAUUACUUUUGUUUAGUAAGAAACAUCUUCCCAAGAAAAUAGUUGCUUUAUAAGUUCCUUUCUUAGGGUUCUAGAGUAUCCGUUGUGUGUAGAUUGAGCGUAUGCUUGGGAAAUUUAACCAUUGGUGAUAACACCUAAUUAUUGUCGCCUUACUUGUGCCGGGCCAAUUUUCCAUUAAGAACGCUAGCUUUCGGCUUCAUCCGUCUGAGGUACGUAUCCGGAUUACCCAGUCAUAACAAUCACAGAGGUUCUCCCUUUAUCAUCUAGCCGAACAAUCGGGAACAUAGAGGAUAAACAUAGGAGCAAGGCAACCCAGCUUUGCAAAAUCUUAAGUGUAACUUACUGCAUAUAGAGGCUUAAGUAUAGGAAUAAUAGAGGCAUCAUGAAAGAGAUGCACAAAUGUACUAUUAUCGGCUUUAGAAAGUCCAGGUGUCUACGGAAAGUACAUGUUCAUGGACACGGUUCAGUUUAUCCGAACAGAAAGUGGGAUAUGUUAAACCACUUGAAAGAGGAAAAAGGAUACAAAAGGAACUAAAAAGAUAACAAGGGAAUAAAUUAGCAUGACUACACCAGCUUAGCUGUUAAAACGCCGAAGACGAGCCGCGUUCCAUGGGUUUGGUUCAAGAUGAUUAUCUCACGCGUUGUGGAGAUGAUACGCCCCUCAUGUAAGUACGUCGUCAAUGAUUAAGGGUCCCUCCUAUUUGAGUGCAAGUUUAUUCUUUUUCUUCUCAGGGAGAUGCAGCACAAGCUCGCCCAAGUUUUAUGUCUUCGCACGAACUUCCCUGCUCUGAUAGCGCCAAGCCUGUUGUUGGUAGAAGUUCGAACUCUUCUUCUAGUGCGUCCAAGUCACCCUAUCGAUCUAACUUGGCUUCUUUUCCCUCGCACAUGCACACUCUAGGUGCAUCAUGGAUGAUAUCACAAGGGAGGACUCCUCCCCCGGCUCGUGAACACUCUUCAUGGGGAAGGACGUCGUCGCCGCCAAAUCCGCUCGACCUUUGUCCGGCAUGAGCUAUUGGCGAUGACGGGAGGGGGAGAGGGAGUAGCGGGAGGGGGGCUCAGACGGGGGAAAGGGGUCGGCGCUCGAGCCGCCUCCGGAUACGGUGUACGAUUUGAGGAUCAAUGUUGGAGCCCUUAGCUAGCAUAGAUUUGCUCGUAGAAACCUCAAACCGUGUGAAAAAUACACCAUGCAAAACACACAAUUAGGCUGGCCAUAGUGGGGUAUCUUAGCCGGUAUCAUGCACUUGAAAAUAGCAAACAAGCUGACGUGGCAAAGAAUUAAAGAAAAGAGAGUUAGAGUAACAUAGAUAGAUAUCGUAUCAGGUUAAAUGUUAUGCUACUUUGUGUCCAAUAAAUAUGAUCAUACAUGAUACUACUUUGUGAUAUUAUGUACUAUUAAGAUAGUAUCACACAUUAUAAUAUCAUAUGCAUGAUACUAUUAUACGAUACUCCCUCCGUAUCGGUUUAUAAAUCAUCUUAGGUUGUGCACCGCAACCAAGACGAAGAGAAAAACAAGAAAAAUUAAUGUUAACUUGCUAAUUAAUAUCAUUGCGUGCAAUGAAUUGACCAAUGCAUAUCGUGCUAGUUAGUCUCAAGUCAUUAAAAACAACACGCCCCGCGUCUUUUAUUGGUUGGUUCCUUUCUUCAAGUUAAAAAACAAGAAACGAGGUAAAAGUUAAUGCAUCGUGCCUUAGUGUUUUGGGAUUAUUUGGUUUUCGUAAUAUGACUUAUAAACCGAGACGGAGGGAGUACUUUUUACUAUGAAUAGCCUUAAACCACUAUAUGCAGGCCUUGUGUAAUUGAAAGAAGUCGUAUUAAACUUGUUUGGGUGAUAGAUGGUGUCUGAAUCUGAAGAUGCAGCCACCGAGGCGCCGUUCAAUGAAUAAGUGCUCUAUGCAAGGGACACAAACAAAAGCCGGGAAGAGGACCAAGUGAUUAUCAUUGUCCGGACAGUACUGACAGAGAAAUCACGCUUGGAUUUGUACAGCUGGUCCUUGCCUUAAGCUGCAUUAAUGAGUGCACGAAUACUGCAUUUGCUAUCUGUCUUGCUAUUCUUAAAGAUCAAACGUCUUUUUUUCUUUCUUUUUGUUGAGCCGAAGCGUAGGAUCGUCGUCCUUUUGCUCGUUUUUUCUUUGAGGCAAGGGGUGUCCUUUUGCUCUUCUUUUUUUAGUUGAGUAUCCUCUUGCUUGUUUUUUCUAAGACCGGUGUCCCCUUUUGCUUGUGUAUAAGUGCGCGUUCGUCCGAGGAACUAACAGCCUGGUAGUGCUAUGGCCCUCGGCCCGUUGGGACGCCCAGGCGGCCGCUAUCCAGUUUCUUGUUGUUGGAUGCCAAUUCAAUUUUUCGUGAGGGUUACUUUCCUUUUCAAAAGAAAAGAAAUGGAUCUACCGGGCAGUCAUGGAUCUUGCAUCUAAAAAAGAAAUGGAACGAAAGGAAACGGCAAGUUCAGACAUAAUAGUAACACAAGAAGCCUACUUAAUGCAUGUCUAGCGACGAGACGAAAGCAUGUGCCACAUACUCCCUCCAUCCCAUAAUUAACGACAAGAAUUAUGGGAAGGAUGGAGUAUAUAAUUGGCCUGGGAGAGAGUAGCGUGCCUGCCACUUCAUUGAACUGUCCUUGUGUACAGUUUCUUUCCAAGUAUUUCAGAGAGACAGACUGGAAUCAUAUGCAAGGCACAGCAGUAUGGAUGUACCGUCACGUAGGACAUACAUACAUCAGUACUGGGUACAGUUCUUUAUUGGCAAAGGGAUGUACCGUCCCGUAGGACAGCUUGUUUUACCUUAGCACCCAGCAAAACAAAAGGAUGUAGACAAAAGGCGAUGACGGGAACAAAAUUAUGCACUGAAAAAAUGGACCUCAGACCGUUUCUAACGCGCGCGGUACCACACAUGCGUAACGAUUAUUCACCAAAUGGCUGUAAUUUAGACCUGUUGUUUUUCUGCAUGGUAGGAGAUCAGAAGCUCUCAUGGCUAUGCAAAGAACCUACACGUUCAGAACGGGGACUUGAUGGGGUCUGGCUGCAGCGCCUUCUUCACGAGCUCGGUUUGCUCCUGCACAUGGACAGUGUAGAAACCUGUAGCUGUGGCUGCAGAUGGGGCCCUUCCGACGUACUUGAUAUCAUCUAUGCUGCCACGACCGAGCGCCCUCAUCGCGGUCAGCAGCCGGGGAUUGAUGUAGGCAUACGCCCCCAUGUUCAUCGGUUCUUCUUGGCACCAAACAAUCUCAGCAUCUGCACAACAGAAAUACGCAGACAGUAUAUACUUUUAGUGCUGCUAGGCCAUCAUUUUUACGUGGUUAUUUACUACUAGAAUUCACAAGAGCAAACAAUAUGAAACUACUAGAAUUCACAAGAGCAAACAAUAUGAGUAUUCUCAUACCCACAAGUGUACUGGAUCAACAAAAGUGCUUUUUUUCUUCUUAAACUAGAAACAAGUAUCCUAGUUAAUAAAAUCCUGCACUACUUGACCAAUCACUCCCUAUUGUUCAUUUGUUCUAUACCCCAUUUCAAAUAAUAUUGGCUUGUAAGAUUUCUCUCCCUACAUGCAAGCCUUGUACGAAAAGAAAAGAAAAACUACUCAAGAUAGCGACAUGAUGGAAAUAUUUGAGCAAAGGUAUUUUCUGCCACAUACUUGGAUAUCUCUUCAGCUCGCGCUGAAUGAGGUCGUAGGGGAAUGGACAGAGCUGCUCAACUCUACAUAUCGCAACAUCAUUGCAAUCUGACUUCUUUCUUUCUUCAUCCAAUUCAUAGUAAACCUAGAUCGUAGCAAAGUUAGUUGUAAAAUCACUAGGUGAAGAAGCAACUUUGUUGACGUACAGCUUCCAGCAAGUAUAACAUAACAUACCUUUCCAGAACAAAGAACUAGACGUCUGAUUCCUUCCUCAAGGUCCUUAUGGUCAUUCCGGUCUUUAAUUAGACGCUUGAAGCGUGUCCCUUGCUUAUCAAAUCCAGGGUGACCAGCAAGAUCAUCGAAUUCAGAUAGACUGGAUUUGCAGUCCUUGUGACGAAGGAGAUUCUUUGGAGACAUGACAAUUAAAGGCUUUCUGAAAUCCCGGUGUAUCUGCAAACAGAGGAAAAUAUAGAUUAAUGCACCGAAAGAUGGUUGCCAAGGCUAGGAGGAAGGGAAGGGGGAGGGAGGUUGCAUUAUUAUAUUCACCUGGCGACGCAGCACAUGGAAAUAGUUUGCAGGAGUUGUGACAUUCACGACCUGCCAGUUGCACUCCUGGAUUUGCUUCCUCAUUGUUGGAUCCAUCUCAGGUAUAACAUAGGGGUUAUCAUCACUCAUCUGCAAUCAUGGACAAUCUUAAAAAAGGAAUAUAAUUAAACCAAAAGGCAGCAGCAUUUAAGAUCUCCAUCACCCAGGCCUAUGAAAGAAACUUAUCUCUGUAAGAGCAUAGUUGCAGAAUUUUUUGGUUCUGCAAGUUUGUAUUUAUAUUAACAAAAUAUGAAAUUUAACGUAAUACUUCAAAAUUGUUCACCAAUAUUCCAUGGCUUUCGGCUCUCACCUGUUGUGAAGUACAGUACAACCCAUAAAUUGCAUGAUACAGAAGUCCAAUUAAGAAUCAAGUCUGGUGUAGUUACAACUAUCUAGUCAGAACUCAGAAGUAGAGGAAGCACAAUACAAGUGUUGUGCAAUUAACAUGCACUCUCAUGAAAGAGGUUUGCCUAUGAGGUAUUUAGCUUUGUCGUCUUAGGUCAUGCGAACAGGCAAAACAUAAUAAGCAAGGAAGUGGAGGGAAAAAAUACAUUUUGCCAGUAUAUGGGAAUAUUUAUAUAAAUAAUGCAAAGUGUGUGGUUAUGGCAGUUCCAGCACUGUGCGUGUAUGUCAUGAUAAAAUUGUGUAAGAGCUAAUUUACAGUAAGAGCUCUCUUCGUAUGUUCUUUUUAUGUGCAUAUAUCAUACAGGUACUAUAAACAGGAGAGAUACAUGUGUCUACAUCUUUGCAACCUGAGCAAAAUGCUACCUGAAGGAAGCGCUCCAUUCUUGCACUAGAAUGUUCAGGCCCUUGACCGUCAUAUCCAUGAGGAAGGCAGACGACAAGCCCGGUCUGGCGGAGCCAUUUUGCCUCUCCGCUACUAAUGAACUGAUCAAAUAUCACUUGAGCCCCAUUUGAAAAAUCACCAAACUGUGCUUCCCAUAAAACCAGUGAGUUUGGGUUCUCCAUUGAAUAACCCAACUCAAAGCCCAGAACAGCAAAUUCUGACAGGGAACUGUUCAAAUUAUAGCACACAUCAAGAGAUGACAUCAAAAAAAGGAAAUGCAUCAAAAUAUGAGAUCAGUAUAUAUCUAAAUAAUUAUUUAAGUGACAAGCUUAUAUUCAGAUGACAAGGUUAUGACUCCGUAAAGUGCACCCCAAGUAGUUCCUACCUAAAAUUACUAAUUUAGGCAGUUGAGAGAAUAUAACAAUUUGUUCAGAAUAUCCUCUUGUUUUUCUCGCUUCAGAUUUUCUUAACAGUUAUGGAACAAUUAUAAGCAUGUACAAAAAUCAAUCUUCCAAACCAACUAAAUCUCUGAGUUGUUUUGGGUCUAACAAUUAUUCCAAUCAGUACUGAUGAUGUUUAUUUAGAUCAUCCCAGAACUUAUAAUCCUCCAAGAUUAUACAACAUGUAUUUAGCCAUGAUUCCAUCCCUGAGCAACAUGUCUGCUACACAUGCCACUUAUGCUGCUCAAUUCCAACUUGUACAAACCUUGUAGCAUAUCUCGGCAGCUAAAAAAAUCAUGACAGCGGAUCAGCAAAAAACGCCAAUAAUUUGGAGCUUUAGCAUGACAAAUUGCAUCUUCAGUAAUACUGCCCCAAUUUGGUUAUGUCUAACCGGUCUCCUUAGAAAUGAAAAGAGAAUUGUCAAUUCUGAUGGGCGAAUAAGCCACGGCGACGAGCCGGGCACGUCCAGUGCGGGUAUGGGCGCGCGCUGGACUUGCUGGGCGCGUCGGGUCCGAGGAUCAGGGCGUGCGUGUGUGCGUGUGUUGGGUGCAUGGGCGUGUCCGUGCACCAGGGUAGUGUGUGUGUGUUUGUUGGCGAGACGUGCGGGGCGAUCGGAUCGUCUGGUGCUGCUCAGCGCGAGACACGGGCGCACACGUGUGUGUAGCAGGCGCGGCGAGAGCAUGCAGGACGUGGAGUAGAUCGCGGGCGAGUAGAGGCGUGGGUGCGUGCCCAGUACGCUGGCUCGGGGAUAUAAACCCACGGGAUGAUCGUUGUAACGGAGGACAUUGUCGAGUUCGUGCUCGAGGGAAGGAGAAAGCGUAUGUGCGCCGGAAAAGUCUCUGUGUCCACCAUUGUUUCUGAACUUCUCUGAAUCCCUUUCCUCCUCGUCUUGCUGAUCGAGCCACGACUGCUAGGAGCGAGCUGGCGAGAGUGAGAGGAGAGCUAGGGCAAGGGAGUGGCGGCUCCAACAAUUGGUAUCAGAGCCUCGGGUGACAGGAGAGCUCGCCGGACAUGGCGCUGGUCCCGUACUCCGGCGGGACGGGGACGACGAUGACGACGUCGGUCCCGAUGCUGACGGGGGACAACUACACCACCUGGGCCAUCAAGGUGGAGGCGGAUCUCGACGCUGCAGGGCUCUGGGAGGCGGUGGCUCCGGCGGAGGACUCGGCGGCGGCGGUGAUCGCCAAGAAAGAUAAGCCGGCGAGGGCUUAUCUGCUCCGGGCGCUCGCCGACGACCUUCUGCUGCAGGUGACUACGAAGGAAACGGCGGCGGAGAUAUGGGCUAGCCUGAAGGCGCGCUUCGUCGGCGCGGACCGUGUGCGCGCGGCACGGCGGGGCACACUGCGCGGGGAGUUCGAGCUCCUGCGCAUGGUGAGCGACGAGUCGCUGGAUGCGUUCGCGGGGAAGAUCAGUGGCAUGGCGGAGCGCUACGCCGGGCUGGGAGCGACUCUCGACGAUGCGGCUAUGGUGAAGAAGCUCCUGGACUACGUCCCGGAUCGCCUGUACGCGGCGGUCGCCGGGAUGGAGCAGUUCUGUGACAUGUCGACAUUGCUGUUCGUGGACGCGCUCGGACGCCUGAAGGCGUUCGACGAGCGGCUGCGUCGGCGCGGGCAGACGGACGGCGAACGGCUCAUGUUCACCGCGGCACAGUGGCGUGCGCACGAGCGGCGUCGGGACGGUGCGCGCGGAGGGGACGACGACGACGGCACGGCAAGCACAGCAUCGGGCGGCAGGGACAACCGUCGUGGGAAAUGCUACAAGUGCGGCGUCAGGGGACAUUUCAAGAGGGAGUGCCCUCUGCUGCGGAAGGAGCCGGCCGCGGGGCAUGCACUGAUGAUGGACGCCGACGUCGAGGACGCCGGGCUGCUCUGAGCCGCGGCUUAGGGCGUGAAUGAUGGGCGAAUAAGCCACGGCGACGAGCCGGGCACGUCCAGUGCGGGUAUGGGCGCACGCUGGACUUGUUGGGCGCGUCGGGUCCGAGGAUCAGGGCGUGUGUGUGUGCGUUGGGUGCAUGGGCGUGUCCGUGCACCAGGGUAGUGUGUGUGUGUGUCUGUUGGCGAGCCGUGCGGGGUGAUCGGAUCGUCUGGUGCUGCUCAGCGCGAGACGCGGGCGCACGCGUGUGUGUAGCGGGCGCGGCGAGAGCAUGCAGGACGUGGAGUAGAUCGCGGGCGAGUAGAGGCGUGGGUGCGUGCCCAGUACGCUGGCUCGGGGAUAUAAACCCACGGGAUGAUCGUUGUAACGGAGGACAUUGUCGAGUUCGUGCUCGAGGGAAGGAGAAAGCGUAUGUCCGCCGGAAAAGUCUCUGUGUCCACCAUUGUUUCUGAACUUCUUUGAAUCCCUUUCUUCCUCGUCUUGCUGAUCGAGCCACGGCUGCUAGGAGCGAGCUGGCGAGAGUGAGAGGAGAGCUAGGGCAAGGGAGUGGCGGCUCCAACAAAUUCUCCAUUCCAGAGUUGAGAAUAAUGAGCAUAAUUGGUCAGUAUGUGUCCACUGUCAAAACUACGGUCAUUGAUGGAUCAUGCCAAUCUGAAGCUUUCCUUAUGUGCAUGAAUAUAAAAUCACUCACUAUGUAAAACAUAAAACCAACAAUAUAACCGAACAAGCUGAUGCAGUUUUUGGUCUAUCUGUUUAAUCAUUUUAUAAGAAAUCUAACUUAAGUAACCUAUGUGCACCCCUAACUGGAACAAGUUAGCACAGUACAAUCCUUACCUGUUGCUUACAGUAAAUAGUUCCUCAUUCUGGUUCAUGACAAGAUUAUCAAGUGGGCAGUACUGCUCUCCAGUUUCUUGGUCAUGGAUGACAGAAUGGCGGUGGCUGAAUGUACCCCUCUCAACAUCCUGGCCACUUAACCUGACAUGGUUCCCCUCAAUUAUAAGAGUUGCAAAAGCAAGUGCUUCACCCACUGCCCAGUCAAUGCCUUCCCCAGUCUCAAUCAUUUGGCGACGCAGAUCAAAAAUCUUCUUGACAGCCCUAUGAGGUUUGAAAGUUUCUGGCAGAGUUGUCAUGGCUUCCCCAACACGUUUUAGAAUCUCUGGUUUGACACUGCAUUGUUGCAAAUGCAUUACAUUAAAUAUACUUCCACAAAAUGUGGAGGGCAACACAGAAACAACCAAACUGGAAGGAAAGAAUCAUUUACCCGGUGUUUCGGAUACGUGAAAUCUGUUCUGGGGACUUAAACCCAGUCCAGUAAGCUGAAAGCCAGUCCCUCUUGUUGGGGAUAUCGUCUUUGCUCUUUUUGAAUUCCUCAUUCAGUAUGGUGCUGACCUUCUUGUGUAUCUUGUCAAUAUCUUCCUUGGAGAUCUUCCCUGAUUCUAACAGCUGGUUUUGAUACAUCUCAAGCGCACUUGGGUGGUUCCUAAUCACCUGAUUCAGAUAGAAAGAACUUUUGAAAUGUAAAAGGCAACAUGUUACACGUAUAACAUCACUAUUUGAUUAUGUGGAAUCAGUUUUAUUGCUGAUUUAUGGCAAUCUUUCUACUUCUGUUUACCAACAGAUAAGUAAAAUACUUAUGGCUCACAGUUCUGUCUACUAAAUGAUAAACUAGCCAGAGUUCCGAAGAUGACAUUACUCAAAAAGUAAGGAAUGACCAGGACUGAAAUUAAGAAUAAAAAAGCAAAAUGCACUUAGAAUUGUGUGCCGGAUCAUAAUCAUAAUGGUGUUUUCCCUUUUUCUUUCCUUUGGAGCAUGGUGGGGGUGUGGAUAGUACCUUGUACAUUUUAGGCUGGGUGAAGGAGGGCUCAUCAAUCUCGUUAUGCCCAAAUCGACGGUAACAUACAAUAUCCACCACUACAUCAGAAUGAAAUGUUUGUCUCCACUCCGCAGCAAGUUCACAAGUAUAAACCACAGCCUCCAAGUCGUCACCGUUCACAUGGAAAAUUGGAGCAUCCAAUGCUUUGGCUACAUCUGUACAAUACUGUGAAGACCUCCCUGACAUCGGAUCAGUAGUGAAUGCAACCUGAUUAUUGACCACAAGAUGAAUUGUACCACCGGUGGUGUAGUUUGGAAGUGCACUCAGAUGCAGGGUCUCAUACACAACACCCUGCCCUGAGAAGCUUCCAUCACCAUGCAACAGCACCCCAAGAUUCUUGGUCCUGUCAAGAUCAUUAGAAUAGUACUGCUUUGCUCUGGUCUUCCCGGCAACAACAGGAUCGACUGCUUCCAAAUGACUUGGAUUUGCAACCAAUGAUAGAUGGAUAUGUUUCCCACCUCUGGUAGGCCUAUCAUAUGAAGUUCCUAGAUGGUACUUGACAUCGCCUGUCCCUGUAUACAAACCCUCCCCCUCGUUGACAGGCUUGGUACCACCACUAAACUCACUGAAGAUCUGUCGCAAGGGCUUACGUACGACGUUUCCCAAGACAUUGAGCCUGCCUCUGUGUGGCAUCCCAAUGACAAUACUCUCUACACCAAGAUCAGCUGCCCUGUCAAACAUCUCCUUCAUACCAGGAAUCAGUGUCUCGGCACCUUCGAGGCCGAAUCGCUUUGCAGUGGUCCACUUCUGUGCCAAGAAAUUCUCAAACUGGGUACUCCAGAUGAGCCUAUCGAGCAUGACCUGCCGACGAUCAUAGGUGUACUCCCUUGGGUUAACUGUCUCGAUCCUAUCCCUCAGCCAGUUGCACUUUUCGCGGUCAGGUAUGUGCAUGUACUCGUAACCAAUGGUGCCACAGUAGGCCUGCUCCAGACGCGCCAACACGGAACGAAGUGUCUGCACAGGCCGAUUCUCUGACAAGAACCCAGCCAUCCUCCACACCCCGAGGAAGAACUCCCGAUCCAAAUCAGACUCAGAGAAGCCGUAGAACGCCGGGUCCAGGACAUCCGGAACCGGCCGCUGCUCCAGCCCAAGAGGGUCGAGCUUGGCCUUCAUGUGGCCGCUCACCUGGUACGCGCGCACGAGCAGCAGCAGCCUCAUGCUCUCCUGGAUCGUCUGCCCGGAUAUGCCGGGCGACGUGGCGGCCUGCCCGACAAAGUUCCGGAAGAAGUUGUCCCAGGACUCGUCGACGGAGGUCGGGUCCGCCUCCCACGCCCGCUGCAGCUCCUCGAGGUACACGCUGCUGGUCCCAUCGAGGAAGCUGUCUGUGAGGCGCGAGAGCGGCACGGCGCGGGGCUCAGGCGCCGCGUACCGCCGGGGGAGCGUCGAGUGGAAGUACCGCN